rnacentral:lncRNA from 1 species
GUGGGAAUGGAAGUCAGGCUCUGAAGAGUAUUUCAGAGGAAAUCAGGCUUCUCAGGGCUGUUCAGGGAGCUUGAAGAAACACCCUCCUGGUACUGUGUAAGAGUUACAGGGGCAUUUAACUGUGUGCAGGUGUUUUUCAUGAAGUCCUGCUGCUGUUGCUGCAGCUCUGGGUCUGGUGAUACAGCUUGAUAUAAAGAUCAGGACAUCUGCACAAGCCUGGAGGAGGCAGCUGAUGUGGAAAGGACUCUGGUAUGAGAAAUGUCUAGGAGUGGCCAUAAAGCUGGGAUGAAAGCAAAUGUGUUUACUGUAUCUGAAUGUACUAAUCCUUUUUGUUUGCUUUUAUCCUCCAGAGCUUCUGGUUUGAGGGCUACCCCGAGUAAGAAACAAGCACUGACUUUACAUGUGGAAUUUGGUGACUUUGCUCAACAUCUGAACUUCUUGAACCAUGGUAUUCCUUCUUAGUCAAAGAGACCUAAGAGGUCCUCAGCAACUAGGAAAUUCUUUACACUGGAAAAACACCAAUUGAAAUGGAAAUGUUUUCAAAAGGAGGAUAUCAAGUCUGAAAUAAUUUUCAGUGUAAUCAACAGAGUAGAGUUGCCCUGAUAUUCUCAAUUACUGUUUAAAAACAGUGAAUGAUAGAGCUUAAUAUAUCACACUUCAGCCUUACUUUUUGAGAAGCAUGUUCUGUAACUAGCUUUCUGUUGAGCUAUGCUGUUUUGACAAAGCACAACAAAUCUGCUACAUUCUGUUUGCAAGGAUGAAUCAAAAGUCGCCCAGAAUUAGAACUGGUAAUUUACCAGGAACCUGAGCGGGAUUUGGAGUUACACAGUGCAUACAUCUGUUACAGAGAUCUAGAUCUCCUUUUUUUUUGCCUCCAAAACACUUUGCAAAUAUUAAAACAUACUGAGUAUUGCUCUGGAAAAAACAUGGGACAAUUUCACUAACGCUGGUGUGAUGUGGCCGCUCUGUACAGUACCUGGAUUGUUUAACUGUGAACCAUUUCCAUGUCCAAAAGAAAACUAAUAUUAAACCUGUUUUCCAAAGUGACCCGAAGUGUUGAAAGAAUAUAAUAAGAUCACAAAGAGAAAAUGCAUUUAAAGAAGAUUAGAAUAUCUCAGAAAGUCAUACCUUGGCACUGUAGAGUUGUCUGAAAUAAUUUCUUUUUUUCAGUCCUCAUACAGAGACACGGCCAUUGACAUCAUAAUUUGUUUUCUCCAAAACUGCCAGGAUCUUUCAGUUCUAACACCUCUGUGAACUGUCUCCUCAAAUUUGCAGUGAUUCUCUGUAACCACUCUAAAAACUUGGCCAGGUCCUGCUGCCUUGGCAACCUAAAGCUGUUUUCCAGUUAACCG